AUCCGGCUACCCUCCCAAUCCCCUGUUCACGCAGCCCCCCGUGGCCACGGCCGAUGCCUGACACGGCACUGGCCGACGUCGUGGCGACCAUCCACCGGUGCCGCCCUGCCAAUAUUACCCGGCGACCCCUCUCCCGUCGCCGAACCCUAACCCGCUUUCCCUUCAUCGCGCCCCCGUUCCCCUUUGUUCGCUCGUCGACGUCUCAGCGCCCCGAUCCCGUCCGUCACCGCCGCCGUCACGUCGCCGCGGCCGCGGCCAACGGCCUCCCCGGGGCUCGACGGGUUGUUCUACGGACUCCCCGGCGUCGUCCCCGUCCUCUAUGCGCCGCGGCCGACCGGUGGAGCUGUCCUGCGUCGCCUACCCCAUCGUCUUCUACUUCGGGCAGCCGAGAUCGCCGCGGUCACCUCGUUGUCUCCGGUGCUCCCCCGAGCCCGCUAGUCUACCCUUCCGCCCCGCUAUGGUGGAUCCCAAGAGCUAGAUGCCACCCCCGACGACGACUACUACUACCCCGAGGGUGCCUACCGCUACGUGGAGCCCGCCGACGACCAGGAGUAGUUAGGAGGUCCCAUGCAGGAGACCUUGCCUCUUCGAUCGUGUUGCUUUUGUGCUAGCCUAUUUAAGGAAUCCUUAUUUAACUUAUGUCUAUACUCAGAUAUUGUUGCUUUCGAUGACGGUUGUGUAUCGAGCUUGUAUUCGAGCCCUCGAAGCCCCUGGCUUGUAAUAUGAAGCUUGUAUUAUUUC